rnacentral:rRNA from 1 species
UACGGAGGAUGCGAGCGUUAUCCGGAUUUAUUGGGUUUAAAGGGUGCGCAGGCGGUCUGUUAAGUCAGCGGUCAAAGCCCGGGGCUCAACCCCGGGGCUGCCGUUGAAACCGGAGCGCUAGAAUUCCGAUGCCGUCGGAGGAAUGUGUGGUGUAGCGGUGAAAUGCAUAGAUAUCACACAGAACACCGAUUGCGAAGGCAUCUGACGAAUCGGAGAUUGACGCUGAUGCACGAAAGCGUGGGUAUCGAACAGG